GGCGGGAUCCCUCGCGGG
rnacentral:snRNA from 1 species